GUAUCUUGGUAAACUAUAUUUUCAGAGUAGCUUCCCUAACACUGUUAGAUAGCAACAUUAUGUGCUACAUUAGGGUACAUUAUAUGGGGACUACCAAAUAGUGACGCAGCUGAAUAGUGAAAGUACGCAGUCAGUGGUGAUCGUUGAGGUGCCACUACCGAGGCUGGAGUGACACAGGGGCAAGGAGUGGCUCACUCUACAGGGGGCGUGGCAGGCACCAACAGUGACCGAGGCCGCACCACAGCUACAGUAGCAGCAAGCAGGAAGUAACCUGGCGGAGGUGUGUGUAUGGGAAGCCACUCAUAGUGGAACCAGAAACUACAGUGCUGCAGGCGUGUGAGAAGGUGGGAGUGCAUGUUCCUCGCUUCUGUUACCAUUAGCGCCUGUCAGUUACAGGCAACUGUCCACUGUGUCGCAAGGAGAUUGAGAAAUCUCUAAAGGACCAGUGACCGGAGCCGCUUCUUAGAGAGCUGUGGAGGACAAGAACAUUGGUCCCUUCAUCAAGACCGUCAUGACCCGCUGUAUCCAGUCCACCCACUGUGUCCGCUUUGCCAGUGAGAUUACAGGUGUGGAGGAUCUGGGGACCACUGGCAGGGGACCUGCAGAUUGGCAUUCGUGUGGAGAAGAUGUUCAUGUCGGCGCUGUCUGGGAAUGUGAUUGACGUACGCCCUCUGGGAGCAUUGACUUCCAAGCUGUAUGCCCUCACUUCCUGUCCCUGGGAGACCAGGAAGACUGAAUCCAUUGACGUGCUGGAUGCUGUGGGCAGCAACAUCGUGGUGAGCACCCGGGGGUGGUGAGAUCAUGAGGAGUUUGCCCCCCC